UACGUAGGGUGCAAGCGUUGUCCGGAAUUAUUGGGCGUAAAGAGCUCGUAGGCGGUUUGUCGCGUCUGCUGUGAAAACUGGGGGCUCAACCCCCCAGCCUGCAGUGGGUACGGGCAAACUAGAGUGCGGUAGGGGAGAUUGGAAUUCCUGGUGUAGCGGUGGAAUGCGCAGAUAUCAGGAGGAACACCGAUGGCGAAGGCAGAUCUCUGGGCCGUAACUGACGCUGAGGAGCGAAAGCGUGGGGAGCGAACAGG
rnacentral:rRNA from 1 species